rnacentral:tRNA from 1 species
AAGGAUUUAAGUUAAAAAAACUAAUAGCCUUCAAAGCUAUAAAUAAAAUAAAGGAUUUUAAGCCUUA